GACGAACGCUGGCGGCGUGCUUAACACAUGCAAGUCGAACGGAAAGGCCCUGCUUGCAGGGUACUCGAGUGGCGAACGGGUGAGUAACACGUGGGUGAUCUGCCCUGCACUUCGGGAUAAGCCUGGGAAACUGGGUCUAAUACCGGAUAGGAGCCAUUUUUAGUGUGAUGGUUGGAAAGUUUUUUCGGUGUAGGAUGAGCUCGCGGCCUAUCAGCUUGUUGGUGGGGUAAUGGCCUACCAAGGCGGCGACGGGUAGCCGGCCUGAUAGGGUGGACGGCCACAUUGGGACUGAGAUACGGCCCAGACUCCUACGGGAGGCAGCAGUGGGGAAUAUUGCACAAUGGGCGCAAGCCUGAUGCAGCGAAGCCGCGUGGGGGAUGACGGCCUUCGGGUUGUAAACUCCUUUCGCUAGGGACGAAGCUUUUUGUGACGGUACCUAGAUAAGAAGCACCGGCUAACUACGUG
rnacentral:rRNA from 1 species